rnacentral:rRNA from 1 species
AACGAACGCUGGCGGCAUGCCUAACACAUGCAAGUCGAACGAGAUCUUCGGGUCUAGUGGCGCACGGGUGCGUAACGCGUGGGAAUCUGCCCUUUGGUUCGGAAUAACAGUUGGAAACGACUGCUAAUAUCGGAUGAUGACGAAAGUCCAAAGAUUUAUCGGCAGAGGAUGAGCCCGCGUAGGAUUAGCUAGUUGGUGUGGUAAAGGCGCACCAAGGCGACGAUCCUUAGCUGGUCUGAGAGGAUGAUCAGCCACACUGGGACUGAGACACGGCCCAGACUCCUACGGGAGGCAGCAGUGGGGAAUAUUGGACAAUGGGCGAAAGCCUGAUCCAGCAAUGCCGCGUGAGUGAUGAAGGCCUUAGGGUUGUAAAGCUCUUUUACCCGGGAUGAUAAUGACAGUACCGGGAGAAUAAGCUCCGGCUAACUCCGUGCCAGCCGCCGCGGUAA